UACGUAGGGUGCAAGCGUUGUCCGGAAUUAUUGGGCGUAAAGAGCUUGUAGGCGGUUUGUCGCGUCUGCUGUGAAAUUUCGGGGCUCAACCCCGAACUGCAGUGGGUACGGGCAGACUAGAGUGUGGUAGGGGGAGACUGGAAUUCCUGGUGUAGCGGUGAAAUGCGCAGAUAUCAGGAGGAACACCGAUGGCGAAGGCAGGUCUCUGGGCCAUAACUGACGCUGAGAAGCGAAAGCAUGGGGAGCGAACAGG
rnacentral:rRNA from 1 species